rnacentral:rRNA from 1 species
CCUACGGGAGGCAGCAGUGGGGAAUUUUGGACAAUGGGCGCAAGCCUGAUCCAGCCAUGCCGCGUGUGGGAAGAAGGCCUUCGGGUUGUAAACCACUUUUGUCAGGGAAGAAACGGUCUGAACUAAUACUUUGGACUAAUGACGGUACCUGAAGAAUAAGCACCGGCUAACUACGUGCCAGCAGCCGCGGUAAUACGUAGGGUGCAAGCGUUAAUCGGAAUUACUGGGCGUAAAGCGUGCGCAGGCGGCUUUGCAAGACAGAUGUGAAAUCCCCGGGCUCAACCUGGGAACUGCAUUUGUGACUGCAUGGCUAGAGUACGGUAGAGGGGGAUGGAAUUCCGCGUGUAGCAGUGAAAUGCGUAGAUAUGCGGAGGAACACCGAUGGCGAAGGCAAUCCCCUGGACCUGUACUGACGCUCAUGCACGAAAGCGUGGGGAGCAAACAGGAUUAGAUACCCUGGUAGUCCACGCCCUAAACGAUAGUACAACUGGUUGUUGGGAGGGUUUCUUCUCAGUAACGAAGCUAACGCGUGAAGUUGACCGCCGNGGGGAGUACGGGCCGCAAGGUUGAAACGUCAAAGUUGAAGUUGACGG